GGUAAACCCCUUGCGCCAAACUGUCCGCUCUAACAGACAGAAACGGUUCCCUGUGAGUAGGUCCCUUCAUUGGAAUCGAAAGCGCCUACGCAUGAACCAUAUGCUUACGGGACGUCGGUCAAAGUUAUUGUGAACAAACCAGCGGUUCCAAAGCAGGCUUGCGCCUGAAUGUUCGAGCAUGGAAUAACAAGGGAUCGAUUCUCUCAGUUCUUUUUGUUGGUCUUUAACCCGAGAAGGAGUAAUUCAGGCCACGGUGUCUGAGUUGGGUCCCCCUAGGCUUCGGCUUAGGCCCCAAUUAGGCUGUGCCCUUACGGGAUCAAUAGGGACUGACGGGGUCGUACGUACCUCUGCGUCAGAGGUGAAAUUCUUAGAUCGUAGGAAGACGAACUUCUGCGAAAGCAUUCGACAAUAAUGUCUUUAUUAAUCAAGAACGAGAGUGUGGGGAUCGAAGAUGACCAAAUACCGUCGUAGUCCACUACUGCAAACAAUGCCGUCUCAGGAUUGAGAAGUGAACUGAAUGACUUUCACAGCACUAACCCCUGAAACGACAAAUCAAAGAUUAUUGGUUCAGGGGGGAGUACAUUCGCAAGGCUGAAACUUAAAGGAAUUGGCGGAAUGACACCACAAGGCGUGGAGUAUGCGGCUGAAUUUG
rnacentral:rRNA from 1 species